AUUAGGUCAUAUGCCAUAGCAAAACCAGGAUGCUUUUAAAGGUAUGGACUAAUUCUGCUAAUGAACAUGUGGUUGAUUAAUCACGUGAUGCCAUUUCCUGCUUUGCUACUAAUAAAAUGUAAUAUGGUACUGUUUUGUGAGAGUGGGUUAGAUACUUCAAAUCGAUGCUUUCAAAUAACAAUAUCUCCACAUGUAUCAGUUAUCCUUCUAUUAGGUUAAUUUGCAUUCUUUAAUAUCUAUUAAGCAUUCUUUUUCUUGAAAUAUUGCAUUGCCUUUGAGUAGACUUGGUAUUAAUUAAGUCUUUAAGUACCUAUCAGUUUGCCUAUUUCUUUGCUCAGACGUUUGAAUGCACCUCUUUUAGAUGAUUUUUGAAUUCGACAUACAAUGUAAUCUCUUUGAUGUCUUUCUCGCUGAAAUAAACUAUUUGCUGACCAUUUACUUCAUGUGUUUUGAGUUGUGAUAUUCAGAUUGAGUCUCUGUUUAUGUUUUUGCUAGUGUUUUGGUAUUAAUGCAUUGAUAUAGCAGCAGAGAUCAAAUAAUUUGGCUUGCUGCUUCAUGCCAUGAAAGUUUAGCUUUUUUCACAAAAAGAAGGAUACGAUGAAAUCAGGGUGGAGAGUUAAAUAAUACUGAUUGCUUAUGUAUCCUCAGUAUAUUCAUGCUAUUGUGGCUGAAAAGUAGAUUUUAGGUAUAUAUGUUAGUGAAUUGGAUUUCAAACUUACUUCAAAAUUACUUCCAUUUUCAUUGUAACUGAGCUUUAGCGAGUUUUUAUUUCUCCAUGUAAUUACAUUGCCUGUUUUGUUUUCAUCAGGAUAACGAUGCAGAUGAUCCAAUAGACACUCCAGGUUAUUAUCAUUAUAUCAUGUGAAAAUUUGGGGAUUCUUUUUUCCUGAAGAACAUCUCAUCAAAGUCAAGGUCAUGUUUUAGUGUUAAAGCUAUUUUACUGGGUUUCCUUCCCCUGCCAGUUCUUUGAUUCCUAGACUUAUUUAUUUAUUAUGCUGCUUCUCAAACCAUUUUUUUACAGUUUAGCUAGCCCUCAUUUUCUCACACACAGAGAAGUAUCCGAAUGAGCCUCCAUUACUAAAUGUGAAAAGGCAUCUGAAAAUCUUGGUAUGAUAUGGUCUACACUCUGGUUACAUCAGCUAAAGAGUGGUUGUCUGAAAAGUAUGGUCAAGAUGCCAGCAAUAAUAACAUUAAAGACGAAUAGGCAGCAAAACAAGAUGUGUUUGCUUUAUUUUUCAAGGAGCUGCUUUUUUCACCUUUUCCUUUACAGAUAAUUGCACCACAUGGAGAACCUGUUACUGUUGAUACAUUUCUGGCCUGAAGAGAAAGAUUUGAAGCAGAGUUGGCACUUGAGAGAGCCAAGCUGAUGCCCAAGUCUGCACUUACAGCCCCUAAGGAGAAGAAGCUAGCAGGCAGACAAUGGUUUGAAAGUGGCAGAGUGAAAGGAGCAGCCCAAGUUAAAGAAGGAUCUGAUGAGGAAGAAGAAGAGGACAUUGACUUUGAUGAUGAUGAUUUUGAAGGUGAUUCUUUAUGUUUGUUAUAUAUGAUUUGACGUUUUGCAAUAAAUAUUUUAUUAUUUGAUUGUAUCAUGUAAACUAAUGUGAUUCUAAACCUUUAUUAGGGGUGGCAAUUAUGGUUGACGAAUUGUAUUCGAGUCAUGUCAAUACGCGACACGAAUACGAUCAAGAUCGACAUGAACACGACAUAAUUAAUAAAUCGUAUCAAAAAUUUAAAAACGAAUACGACAUUUUUAUUAUACAGGUACGACACGACACGAUUAAUAUUAAAUUGUAUUAGGUUUAUUCAACAAGACACUAUCCAUUUAACACGAAAUGUGGUUUGAUAUGUCUUAACGCAUUUAACACGCUAUAUAAGUAGGUUAAUGGGUCAUAGUGGGUCAA
rnacentral:misc_RNA from 1 species